GAGAGAGCCCCGCUCACUUGAGUCCAAGAUGGCAGCAUCCUGACAUCCAGCUAAUAAGAACUGUGUCUGUGGUUUGGCAUUUGUGAGAGUCUCAUGAUCCAAGGACUCUAAGAACACCCACUCACAUCACAGCCUCUGUACAGAGCUUCCUACUCACAGUCCCCCUUUAAAAUUCCAUCUUUCACUUGAUGAGAAAAUUUUGCUCUCACUGGAUCAUUUGUGGAAUUCAUUUUGCAAACUGCCUUUUCUUGUUUCCAGUGGAGUAUAAGGAAGAAGUCACCUGGGACGGUGCAGCAACCAGGUUCACACAGCAGCCCCACAGUAUAACAAAGAACACCCCCAAACGUGUACAGAGGUGAGAGAACUUGCCUUCCAGAGAGCACCGGGAAGAUGACUGCCUCAUAGGUUCAACUUAGGGGUUAUGGUCUCUGUGAAGCCUCCCCAGUGAGGAGUCAGAGAUUUCCUCCUGCUUCCAGGAGGCCCCAUGCUUAUGGCCGUUGUAGAACAUGACACACUCUGCUGUUGAUGUGAUGACAGUCUGCCCACGUGACCCUGACCAGUUCAACUUGCAAUAAAUCAAGGGGAUGCUUUAAAGACUAGAACCUUACUGCUGCUGCUGCUGCUGCUGCUGCUACUACUAUUUGAGCUCAGAUCAAGUCCCUGAACCAGUGAACCCGGAAGGAACCUGCUGGUGAAGAGGGAGCCCAGACAGAGGAGAAGCAAGAGACGGACUUGGUGGAGUCUGUUUUGAACCUACUCUCUCAAGGGCUACAGUGGAGCUUAUGCAUGUGGCUUUGGGGAAACGGAACCCUCCGUUGGCCUUUGGAAUUCAGGAUGUGCACAGGCAUAGUCAACACUCACUCCUGUGUAGCUUGGUAGUGAUAAUGCUUCUGUCUCUCCUCUGCUCAGGGAGCUCUGUGGUAACAGAAGAUGAAGCAUGGUGAGAUACUGUGGUCCUUUCAUUUGUGUUGGAUGGAAGAUGCCCCUGUCAGCUGAGGAUCCUCAGCAAAGGGGUUAGAAGGGAGCAGAGAGAAGACACGCCUACAAAGGCCUUGCCAUUAAGCAUAGAGGAUGAUGGAGUGAACGGUAGUCCAAUUCUAACAUUGAUGUGGAGGGCCAUACCUUCCCAUGGGAUUCUGCCUUGUUAAAGUCAGGGCAUUGGUAAAUUCUCUGAGGAACAAAUCACAAAUAUCUCUGCACUGGUUGAUCUUAUCCCAAGUAUUCUAAAAUUCCACAGAGUGGAAAGACAGGAAAGAAUUCAAGUAUAAUUGUGUGUGUGUGUGUUUCUGUGUAUAUGUAUAUGCAUGUGUAUGUGUCUGUGUCUAUGCAUAUGUAUGUGUGACUCUUCCAGCACACUGUGUCAGUGGCCUGAAAUCUGACCCAUGAUCUACAAUAUGACUAUGUUUGCUAAGUGCUGGCUAUUGUCAUUUGAUGGUAGACUUGUGUCUUCUCCUGACUAGACUUCAGGUGGCAGUAAGAGCCUCUGCUGGUGUUUGCAGCCAUUUCCAGAGACAAGGACUCUGCUGCUAUUGUACUUCGUCAUAGCAAGGAAUGCUCUUUGUUGUGUCAUUCGUGUUAAAAGGAGGUCCAGGAAGUGGAAACAGAUGUUAAGAAGAGCUGAGCUUCUCUGGGGAACAUAAGAUGAACCCAUGGGUUCAAAAUAGAAUCUAGCAUAGUUUUAGGUUUUAUUAAUUUUUUGAGAUAAUUUGUGUGUGUGUGUGUGUGUGUGUGUGUGUGUGUGUGUGUGUGUAGCCUGGCUGUCCUGAAAUUCAUUCGGUAGACCAGGCUAGUUUUCAACUCAGAGAUCUGCCUGCCUCUGUCCCCCAAGUGCUGACAUUAAAGGCAUG
rnacentral:lncRNA from 1 species